rnacentral:misc_RNA from 1 species
CGUAACAUAGCCAUACCAGUGGCCAACAAUAUUCCCGUCCUUUCCUGAGCUGAAGAUUAUAACAUUACCAGCAUACUUGUGGCCACCAAUAUGAGAACAAGCUGUCACACGAACUUUGUCUUUCAAGCUCUUGGACUCAAUGAGCUUGCUAAAUUCCUCAAUUAGAAUAGGUCCACAAACACCACAUCUUCGAUCACGAAGAUUGUGGGCACAGACAAACACAUAAGAACCACUCAGCGACUCCUGCAAUCCAGAGCUCCAAGUAUUGCCAUUGACAAGCACAUCAUCAACAAAUGCAUCCACAUCUGACUCCUUCAAAUCCCUGUAUUUGAUCAUUUCAGGAAAAAUCAGAAUAUCUCCUUCUGAUACUUCCAUGUCAUCACGUACUUCGCAUAUUGUCAAAAGAGUCUUGAUUUUGAUGUCAUCCUUGCGAGCUUUAAGAGCAGCAGAGAGUGACUUUGGAAGCAGAUCGGAGUCAGAAGCUUCAAGGCGAGCAGGCCAAGUCUCGUGAGACUUGUAACAGAGGAACAGAUGACGAUCAUAGGAGGUCGCAGUACCUGCAAGUUUACUCUGGUACAUCUCCGAACGCUGAAACCCAAACUUGACGUCCUCGUCGGCGUUGGCAGCGUCGGCAGUAGCGUCGGUGGAGAAGUUCUCCGGUGUUCCGGCCAUGGCGUUAACUAGGGCUCGUGCAGAAAAGCGAGUGAAAGGUUUUGGAGAGAAGUGCAAGCAAAAUGUGAUUGAAGAGGAGAGAGGUAGAAGGGCUUGUUUGAUGAGCAUGGCGAAGUGGGGAUUCAGUGGUGGAAGCGAAGGUAGGGAGUGAAAAUUGGAGGUGGUCGACGAGGGAUUUGUGGGUCAAAAGGGUGUGGAGAGUGGCGGUGGAGAUGAAGAUUGGAGGUGGUGUUGCCAUGGUGGAUUGGGGGAAAAAUGGAAUUGGACUUUGUAGGAGGAGAAAUGGGCAUUUACUUACACAAAUGGCCACUAUUUACAA